UGAUGAUCUUGCCUUAAAACUUAUUUGUUUCUUGAGCAUUUUUAAACGAAUAGAAAAUGUCAUGCAUUUGAUUUCUCAAAAAAGUACCGCCUCCGCAUUUGGGCAGGGCCUUUUUGUUUACCCAGUCAACAACAGUGUGAUCAUUUAAAUAGUUUCCAAUAAACAGAGUGUGCCAUAGCAAAAAAAAAUUUAGAAUAUAAAAUCACAAUGAGUUGUGAUAUCAGCUGACAAUCAGUCGGUGACCCUACAACUCUUAGCGUGCACAGUUCAUGUGAGGUUCUCUAUCCCAGAUUAAGCGAAUCAUUACCCUGCGUAAUAUAUUGGAGCAAUUUCAUUUCUUUGUAGUGUAUGUGAGGAUACUAACACCAUCAGAUAUAUUCUCCAAUUCAAUUAAAUCUCCAUCCCAGCACACCUGAGUUCAUUAACCUCCAGGUAUGCAGGUGAAUUCCUUAUGAUCUUUGAAGCUACUCAGUCAGUGAUGAGUCGAUUCCAGAGCCACACUCAGCAAUAUAGCUUUAAAGUGUAGAAUGUUUACCCAGCACCCUGAACUUGUUGACACAUUGAAGCACAAUACACUAGGUCAGUGCUGUUUGCUUUAUAUGGUCAGCUCUGGUUGACCGUGUAUGGGUGGGGCGUUUGUGAAAGAGAUAACACUGCCUUGGACCUUUCAUUUGAAUAUUGUCAUAGAGAUCUCAAAAACAUCAACAAUAGAGGUUGGAAAGGAAAUUUCAUUAGCAUAUUUAAUGUUGGACUGCAAUAGGAUUUACUAGAAUCUGAUUAGAUCACCACACAGCUUCCAACUGACAACCAGCUUUAAUGGGACAGGGCGAGGGUAGUGGAAAGGGAGGGGACCUGUGUCCCGGCAUCCUGUGGGCGAUCCUGUGGUUUCUGAUCCUGUGGUUCCUAGCCUGGCCUGUGGCGUUCUUUAUAGCCUGGCUGUAUGUGCUCCUGAUACCGUUCUCAGCCUGUAUCGAACCCAUGAAGGGUGUGUGUGAGGCCAUUUUGAAAGUGCUUCAGCUGCCACUGACAUGUGCUGAGAACAUGAUUGCAAUGAAGCCAUUGUGUGGAGGAUAAAAGGACUGACCUUCAUAGGAAAUUAGGACUAGAGGACUUUUACAAAAUUUUGUAUGUGCAACUGUAAUGAACACAAUUGUAUUUUUUAUAAAAAUAUGUUAUCAUACAUGCAUUAGUAAACAUUAAAUGGUUAAAUGCCUCAAAAGGCUGCAAUAAAGUCUAUAUAAAUACC